CAGAGGCGCGUAACGUGCUUUUGGCGCUCCGGAUACUUGCAUGCGUCGCAGGAUAAACUGGCGAAGUGGUUAGUCAUGGUGUAGGCCGCCAUCUCGUUCGCAAUGGUUGAGUUUGUUGACUACACCGUGGAAAACAUGUUAAAAAAAAAAAAAAAAAAAAACUGUUUUAGAUAGACUACGCUGCCCCUUUUUUAACAAUGAAAGACGGACAUCGCGUACCACUUUAGGCCGACUGGACGAUGAAGCGUUCACAGAAGGAAGAACUGGGACCAUGGCCUCGAACGUCAUCCGCGCUGCGGGCCGCAAGAUCAUUAGCUACUGCACAUUUAGAAAUUUAUUGAGCUCUGCGACCGCCUCUUGUGCGGUGAACGCUGUUAUCGGUUCACUUGUUCAUUUCCGUUUCUACCAGCUUCUUUUCCUGCCAGUUUUGUAGGGUAGCAAACCAGGUGCAACCUGGUUAACCUUCCUCUUUCCUUUUCUCUUUCGCUCUGUGAAAGCAAGCUACAGGGUCCAACUUAUUUGCCCUUGCCAGAAUCGGCGGCAUGCUACCUUUGUUGUUGUAUUUUUGUGUGCAUGUGUGCGUUAUAAGACUUGGCGCGUUCGAUUUGAGUGCACUUUGUUUUGUAUUAUGAACCCAUGUAAACUGGGUGCGCACUUGUUUCGGGGGAACGUUAAAAUUGUGGCAAAUACUACCAAAUGAAGCAGUGUCGUGUUCGGAAGUUUAUUACAUGUUUCUUUUAAUUCGGCCUGCCGUAUGGUUUGAUCAAUCUUGUCUGUCACGUCAAGGUUGAAUUAACGGAUGUUGACUGUAUAUGGCAGCACGGUGUGUUCUUGUGGGGAAUCAACCAGUCGCUGGAUAUGACUAACUUGGCACAUUUUAAAGCUAAGCUUUUAUUGCCUGUCUCCCAGAGGUUUGGCAUGUCGUCAUUAGUCUAGUCAAUCUCGGCAAUUGGUCCUUUCAUCGCUAUACAGCACCGACUAGCUAGUCAGCACGGCUUGCUGACAAUGAAGAGAUCAGUUUUAUGCAUGGAAAACAAGCCUAUGAAGCCGUGAAGUCAUUCAUUUGCAACCAUAUUUGCUGAACCACAAUCCUACCGUUUCAGUGGGAUAAAACUGGCUGUGGUUGGGAGGUCAUGUUUAUUAAAACUUUCUUUGGUGGCAUGUGAAGGUUUAGACAUGUGGGCAGGGGUGAUCCAGGGAUCAGAGGUUCAUUGAAGAAUGGCACAUAGCCAGUGACCUAAGUUGGUGCCAAAAAAAGGUUCAUUGAAAAGUGGCACAUACCCAGCGACUCAAGCUGGCGUCAAAGAGGUUAUUAAUGCUAACAUUUGGUGUUCAUCACGCUUGUGUUUAUUUGUCAACUUCCGUUUUUACCAACAAUGAGGUGUCUACAUUGAAGGUCAAUGGACGAAGGUCUUACAAUGGUUUCCCAUAUUUCUGUGCAUAUGUCUGCAAGUGCUAUCAUCACUUCGCUCGCUGCUGCUGCCGCUGCCGUGCUUCCUUACGCCAGGGCUUCGACAUCGUGUGCCUGCGCUCGAGUGUGAUGUGUUCAUGUUUGCCUGUGCAUGCUGACACCAUGCUUAUUAAUUUAGUUAGUAAGUGAAUGUUUGCAAGUUUAUACGUCCGAUAAAACUACUAUCGUUACUUUGUAUAGCUGUGUUAUUUGCUAUCGCAACCGAUGCUCGGCCUUUCAGGUGAAACUGCAACUUCUUUUCUGCUUUGACAGUCCUAAUGCUUACGCAUUAAACCAUUAAACUCAGAAUUGAACAUCAUCACCAGAUGCGUGAAUGGUAGCUUUCCAUUUACAAUGUAAAGCCAGUACCAAUAAGAACUCCACAAACUUAUUGUUGGCCUCUUCUCUGAUCUGUCACGUUGUCCCCUGACCAGCCAACACACAACCAGAAGGGAAAAGGCAUUUCAAGAGCAAUUUCUCUUAGACAUGAGCCCCGCAGUAACAGUACUAACAGUACCUCUACUUUAAUCUUGUUUAUUUCUUCAUUCUUUGUAGAUGGUGGACCAUGUUGGCUUAUUCACAUUAUCACAAAGAACCUCUUGGAUAGCACCGUGUUCCCUGCUGGGGCUGUUGGACUACCUAUUGUUUAUAGUGUAGUGCAUAUGUGUUGUGACAUUCGAGCUUGAAUGAAAUCUAAAUCAAAUAAUGUGGAACAGUGAUGGUAUUAAGCGAAUGCUGGGCACAAUUUGAAUAUAAUUUUUUGAAAUUUUUUUUUCUGAAACUUUGUUUAUUAAUUGCUUAUACAUUCAUGGCCAAAAAAUUACUGAUGGAUUAGAGUAGAAGCCAGUACAUCAGAGAAAACAGUAAAAAAAAAAAAAUGUUUCAAAUGUAUAUAUCUCAUGAUGCAAGGCUAGCAUAAGUUUGUAGAGGUAAAGAAAAGGCAGGGUGGAAGAGACAGUGUGUGUAGACUUUUGCUUGCUUGGUGUCUCCUGCAUUAUGCAUGUGUGACAUGGCACAGACUGUGAUGCAUGAAACAUUGCGGAAUGAAAGCACUAUGAAACAAAAUGCAAAAUAUGGGUUUGAUUGAGAAACACUCAUGCAGUUGCAAAGCGAAAUUUUUACUCCAGCUCAUCUUAUGUCUCUGUUGAUUUCUGCUGCAGAAUGAAGACAAUAUACUACAACCUGUCGAAUGGCCACACAUGAAUGCCAGUGACGACAGACUGAUAAACCUGCUGUGCUACGUGCCUGCUGGAUUCUUUUUUACUGCUCAGAGCAGUCCGUGCCUGGGCUACUUGUAUAUUCAGGCUUAGCCUUUCUGAAUUAUAACUAUGGCCAGAACAUUUCGUGUGCAUAGUGGCUAACACAAAUAGCUAGGCUAUGUGUGUAAUACCAAUGCCACAUGAAAACAAGAAAAGGCAUUAACUGCUUAUGUAAGUUUAAUGUCAUUCAAACAGUGACACACAGACAUACUUAAAGGCCAACUGUAACAAAAGUUUGAAUAAUGUAAAAAGCUUAGAUUCAGAUAGAUAUAGAGCAGCCUCUGUGCAAUUUAUGUUUAAAUACCAGUGGACAUGACAGGAAAAGCGUGUUGCUAACCUGAAAGGUUAAUAGCUUUACUCUUCUCCUUCCACAAUUUUUACCAGUUAGUGAAGGUCUCAUUCUCCAGCCUCUAUGACGUGUGUGGCUGAAUCAAUGUCAAUUCCUGGGUGCACUUUCCACUGCUGCCUUACAUUUGAAAAACUCUUCUUUUUUGCUGUUAUGUACACUUCUCUGUAGCUUCUUCCUAGCAUAGUUUAUUUUUGGAUCCUCUCUAGCUGUUAUUAAAUAUCCUUCCUUGUAUUCAAUGUUGAUUGCAUAUUGAUGUUUCUCUAGCAAUGUGAUGAUGAACCUUAAGAAUUGGCUCAGAUUCAUAGCGCCUGUUUCAGACAGCUAAAUAAAAGAAUUUGUCAUUUACAAUGUCAUAAACAUUUAUACUGUUUGUAUGCUUCUAACGAAGUGGAGUGGUAACAUCAAAACAGUAAAUGAACUAUUGCCAUAGAACACAUUUGUAAUUACAAGUGGUUGUCAGUAAGGUUAACAAAAAUAUAUUUUAAGAUGGUCAUCUUAAGGUCGGUUUCCUUGCAUCAUUUCUGCGUCGAUUGAUCUGUGAUAUUGGUGGCUGUGCAAAAGCUACUUGAAUUUCGUAAAAAUUAUUUUUUGACUUGAACCAUGCUUUAGUAAAUGUACUGUUGAAAAUUUUUCUUGAUGUUCUACCAAAUGAAGGAUGUGCCUGUUAUCUUUUUCAACUCUAAAAAGCUUCAUUAACUGCAUUUGUGUGUGUUCUCAAAUAGUGCGAGUCCUAAUGAAAACUCUAUGUACUAGAUGUCUUUAAAUUGUGACUCAAGAAUUAACUACACUCACAUCUGUGCAAGCAAGUGAUGGGCCUGUUUGGAUGUGACAAUGUAUGAGCAGCAUCAACCCGGUGUCCCUUUUAGACAUAGAAAUAAACAUAAGAGUUAGCCCCUGCACAUAAUUCAUUUUGCGCUGUGCAGUGCCUGCUGUCCUGUUGUACUCUUUUCUAUUGUAUUAGCACGACUGAGGUGCCUUCUACUUGCUCUUUUUUCACUGAACUGAUUGCUUUCUCAGAGUUAAAUCUCUCGCAUUGUGAUGGACCAUAUCUGCUAUUUAGCAGGGUCUUUUGCUUUAAAAUACUUGUGCAUUUUGCAUUUAUUGUGAAGUGUUUUAUGCUAUGUUUAUGCUUGGGCAAGAGUUCACCAGAGCCAGCUUUAGGAGCCGCUCGCCGCACAGCAAACGUUCACCUGCACUGGCUCAGCGCAGUUAGCUGUAUUUUUGAGCAUUUUCACAUUUCCCAGCAGUGCCUACCUCAUUCGUUUUUUGUCGCAAACCUCUGAGCAGCAAUUGCAUGCUAGCCAAGCAACAAAUAUUUCACAGCACAUGCAAUUUAGCCUAUCUUUAACGUGUUCUACUUGGAAAUCAUUUCUUGAUAAGUUUUUGUAUUAUUAGUACUAACUUUGUACUGAGGCAGAAAUAUUAAGGUGAACUAUGGCAACCUCACAAACAAUCUACUGUAAACACGUUUCAUCAGUGACGCAAUCAUCUUUUAGUCCGUCAUGCCCGUUGGCCACCGCGCUGCCAAUAAACACUGAAACUUGCUAUAAAAAAGACCUUUUCUUACUGUUCCUGUGUUGGACAAGCUGAGGUUUCAUUUCAGUGACACAAGCCUUACCCUUAUUGAAUUAUCAUGAGAGAAGAAAAAAAACCUUGUUUGCAUCAAUAUGUAUGCACUCUCAUAUCUUUGAUGUUUCAUAGCUGCAGCUUUGCUUUCAAAUUAAAAAUGUUACUCAUGUAGUUGGUCUCAUUUUCUUUGUGCAGCAUUAAACCGUUCCAGCCGUUCAGGAAGUGCCAGAGGUGGAAGGCCAAAGCAGGGGGCACGCUACCACCGCUGCCACCUCUGCAGUUACGUCACUGAAAAGCUGGCACAUCUGAGAACGCAUGAGCGCAUCCACACAGGCGAGAGGCCAUUUCGUUGCCACUUCUGCUCCCAAAGGUUCUCGCAAAACUCCCACCUCAAGUCGCACCUGCGUCUUCACACGGGCGAGCGACCAUUCCCGUGUGCCUUCUGUUCCAUGUCCUUUACACAGCCUAGCCAACGUAACAGACACGUGAAAAGGCGUCACCCGGAUGGCACGCAUUGAAGUACAUUGCUCCGAUGUCAACAAGAUGGCAUCAUAGUCAGCUGGUAACUAUCAAGUGCACCAAGUGUCACUGCAGAGGUGCCUCGACCCUUGUGACCUGUGUUAUUAUAUGACCUUCCGACUACCUUCUCUCAUAGCGCACGAGUGCAUACGCACACAGACUGGAGGCCUUUUCGGUGUUGCUUUUGCUCUUGGAGCUUUUUGCAGAAGGGGGACCUCAAGUUGCACUUGUGCAUCCAGAUGGGCAAGUGACCAUUCCUCUGCCCAGUCUGCUGUAUCUCCUUUGUGUGGGCUUCUUGGCUGAACAGUUUCUUGUGAACACAUCACUGUGCUACCAUAGAGAAGCAGAACACCAACUGUGUAGGUGGACGUGGUUCAUUAGCGGGAGAUAAAUGAAGUUCUGCUACAUUUGCAGUAUGCUGCAUAGUGCUCUAGUAUGUUGGGGAGCUCAAAUGUAAUCAUGCAGUGGAAUAUGUAAAAAAGAAAGUCGUUUUUUAAGAUGGUGCAGCAUAACUAAAGAAGCUGUUGAGGCAUUGCUGUGGCCAGCUGGAUAAGGUUGUUACACUGAUUUUCCAGUGCCUUAGUAUAGUGGGUCACACAUUAAUAUAGUCAGCCAUGAUAUUACGCUUUAUUUGAACAUUGGCAUAUUUAAAGGUAUCAGCACAAAAGAGCUUGCCAUGUCAAAAGUUCUUUAUACAAAAAUAUUGCAAAGUAAGCCGUUAAUAAAAAUUGAGACAUUUCCAGUAAUUUUUGAGGUUUCGGCAAACAUAAGCUUACUGAAUGGUGCAUCCAAGGUUUCUAAAUUGCACGGCUUUGUGAGAGGACAUGCUUUAUACCAGGCACCGUAAAGACAUGCACAGGUGAAAAGUACAAGUACCUGAUGCGCCAUCAUUACUGGAUUUAGGUGGCGCACUUUGCUGAAGCACCGCAACGGCAGCGAGAGAAACAGUAAACUUUUCUUAGGGGGGGAAUCUCUGGGAACGCACUGCCAUGACGUAACACACUGAGCAAGAACAAGUCAGUGGCUUGCAGUUGCUGUUUCUUUUUGUUCUCCGUUCUUUCUUUAUCAUUAUAACUAUUAAUAUAUUUUUGUGUCCUGGUUUUUCUGAAUACCGGUAUCCUUUGGGAUUUUAUGCAUGCCACUUGGCAUCGAUUUGUUUGGUUUUGCUUCUUCAUUUUUGUGUCUCGAGUGUUAAUUUUGUGCAGCAAUGCAAUUUGUUUCUAGCUUCUAUGAAUUCAUAUACAGUGAGCUUUGCUAUAUGCUGUUCACUAUGUGAAAGUGAAAUGUAUUACUGCUAAUAUUCAGUGCAAGUAAUUUUUUUUAUCUAUCGUCAUAUGGCAUGAAGUCUCAAGAAGGUGAGCUUAACUGUUUAUUUACAAUACUUAUACCAAAUAACGCUGCCUUCUGUGACCUCCUAAUAGUGGUUGUGUUACAAAAACUCGUUACUCAAUUUACACUUCAGUUCAAGCAGUCAGUCAAGGUAUCUGCUUGAAUUAAGCCGACAAUUCAUGUUUACGGAGAGGGGCAAGAGACAGAGAUGUAAUGAAGUAAUUGGCACGCAUUUUUUGUGCGUUCCCACAACAGCAAAGUGAAGCGCAGUGUACUUGCUCGACGAAUGAUGGGAUAUAACUUAUGUCGCAAGGUGUUGGUUUAUGGUCAACAAACAGUAGCUUUAUACUUAUUGGCAAAAGUUCUUUGCCAAACUCUAUAAUUAUUGUAUUCCUUCCCCUCUUGAAGAUUAUGGCAUUGAAUGUAAGGUUAUGGGCCUGUUUAUUUUACCACGUUAGUUACCGCACUCCGUACCUUGCUGCACCAGAGAUUGAGAGAGGGGCUGGAAAAGCUCACUUCCGGUGCCUCAGAAUGCUUCCACUCGUUUAUCACCGACUUCUAAAAAAAAAAAAAAACCCAUCCCAUCAAUUGGACAGCGUCUUAACAAAGUCGUCACACUGUCUGCAUUCAGUAAAUUCUAAAACAAUACUUUAAACACUGAUUGAUUCUUCCAGUGUCCAGCAAGUGCUGGACAAUGGCCAGCGGGAAAGCAAAAUAAUUGGAGAAAGGAGAAUUGAGGAAGUGGGUGAAGGGUGUCCUUACAUUCCAUGAUCAAGGUACAGCUAGUUGUGUUGGCAAGCAAUGAUUAGGUGGAGCCUUUGUAAUGGCAUUCGGUAUAUUGAAUAUGCCGUGUAGUGGGAGGUUAACAUAAACAGGCAGUGUUCCUGUUCUUUUUUUUUUUUUAGUAUCUUUUUUUGGCACUGCUUGAUAAAAACAACUUAAUCAAAAUAUUUAUAUCCUGUAUAUGCAGGUUCGAUUGUGCUCGCAGAAAUGAAUAUAUUGAGUCAUUCAAAGGGACAUGUUGUUGUACAGAUAUAUGAUUGCACGUUUGAAAAUUAUUGUAACUUUGUGUGUACAGAAGAAUGGCUGUCUGCAUAUUGCUAUUCUAAACUAUACCAAGUUCCUAACUCGCAGUAUUGUACUAUAGUGUUGAUUAUACCCAGAUAUUAUUCAGUGUUUGGGCACUUGCUCGUGUCAGUGAUACAUUGUGUUUCAGCGCUCUUGAACCAGUUUCCCCAGUGAACCUCUUUAAUUUCUUCCCCUUGCUUUCCCUAUGCUUCCCCAAGGCUUUUCUUUGCUUCAUGUCUGUCAGCUUCAUGUUAUUGUAACUAACAAAGCAUGGAACCCAUAGGUUCUCUCUAUUCUUGUCACUCAAAGAUGCCAAAUACUUUAUUGAAUACUAUGGACUGAGAAAUGCAUUCUUGUUGCAAAGUGAGAACAAAUUGGCAGCAGUAAAUUAAAAACAUUUUUUUAGAAGUUGUUAGAAUAAAAAUACAGGUUACUGUGCAACGACAGAAUUCUUUUGCUGUGUGUUGGCUGCGGCUGUGUGGCAAUAAAACAUGAGCGUUUACUGUACUUACUUGAUUCUAAUAAGCCGUAAAUCUAACGCGGACCCAAUUUUCCGGGUUUAACAUAAGAAAAUAUAAGUGCACCUCAAUGUAACAUUCUCUCCUCAUUCGUUUUCAGAAAAAAAAAAAGAGACGAUGCAGAAUUUACCUUUACAGAAGGUAACUUUUUGUAAAAUUACCUUUCUUAAAGAAAGUGGUGUGCCAUCAUCUGCAUUUGUGCUUUAUUGGUCACAGAUACUAAGCACACACGGGUGGUAUUCUUGAGUGAUCACUUUGAGAGAUACUGCUAUCACUUUUGCAACAUUUUACGUACAUGACUUUGCAUUGUACUUGUCGAAGUAUGCAACCGACAACGUUCCUGAUACUGUGUGCCGAUAGCAAGCUUAGCAUACAAUAGCACCAGGAACACUGGCAGCUGUAUAUGCUGAUGCAUCCUGUGCCGAGUUGCGAGAAAUCUCCUGAAAGUAAUAGUGCCAUAUUUUUCGGACUAUAAGUCGCACAUUUGUAUAAGUCGCACCACCCACUUUCCUCGGGUUCUGAAGAAAAAAAAUUUAUCUGAAAGUUGUGCCGGUGUAUGAAAUGCACCUAUCAACUUGGUCGACAUGAUGAAACUUCAUUAUGCACACUUACACACUCAUCACAAAAUUUCAUACUUACCCACUUCAGGGAACUACAUUUCCGUAAACAAAAUUAGGGAGGCAAAGCGGGUUGCCUCUGCACUGCCUACACGGUGAGCCCUAGGAGCUAACAUCUGUCGCCACAGUCAUUCCACUGGUAAUGCAAGAUUCGAUUUCUUUCGAAAUGUUGCCGUACAUGACUUUUUGUACUCUCGAAAAAAAAAAAAAAGGAUAAACGCUGACAUUUGUCACUCCGUGCGCAUGCUUAGUCGCACAGUUGCAUAAGAUGCAUUGCCAAAAAUUUUGUAAAAAAUAAAACAGGCUUAUAGUCCGUGAAAUGCGGUAUGUAUGGAAAAAAAUAAUUGUCUGAGAAUACUGCUCCUGUUAAUAGUCAAGUACAAAAAUGAUCCCGUAGCAACCUUCAUGAAAACGUGCUCUCUCACCAUUAUGUGAUGGUGAUGAUGCUGCAUCUGACGGUAAGCUGUGACCAACACUGCAAAUAUACUUUUGGUUCCGUAUCCGAUUGUAACGUGCAGGCAAUUUUUUCUCUGAAUGAAGGAAGCUGUACAGACAUGAAACCAUAAAUUAGAAACAUGGAUCUCGGACUCACGUAGCAUCACGUAGCAUCUUGUCCACAGCAACAUUUAUUCCACACCUCAUUCUCUGAUCACUUCGUGUCUGCAUCUCAUUAGAAGUGACCAUGAUUUCCAUUCAGGUGCUUAGCACGACACUUUCGUUUGCUAAUCAAUAUAAAUACUUGUGUUAGCUGCCCAUUUUUAGCACCAAUUUAAGGCAGAUGUAAACUUCUUACAUCUUGAGUACCUUACAUGUCACUUUUCUUGUAGGAGAUUGUUUUGUUGAUGUACUGUUUUUCAAUCUGAGAGCACUUUAAUAUAUUUAGAUAUUGUCAUACUGUGAUGGCUUUUUAUUUCUUUUUUUAUGUGAUAAAUCUUGAAAGGAUGUGUGGUAGCUUGUUAACCUUGAUAGAGUCAACUUGUGCACAAUAGCAAAAGGAAUGGCAUGUACAGUUUUUGCCAAACAACAGAUCGUCCUAGAGGUUGGAUUGUUGAGUGAUGGCUGCAUUGUGUGGCACCUGUGGAGCUUCUGGGUCUAGAAAGCUCUGAAGGGUAAGGAAAAGUGUUUUCCUUUUUCUUCAGAUCUUUUGGGCAGAGUGGAUGCAGUGGGUGGCAGGCUACAUUUUGCAGUCAUUGAAGCAGUGUCUGCUUUUUUAUAAGCUGUACUUCCUACCGUAUAGCACUGCACCCAUGUUCAUCCACCUCGAUGCUGGCGCAGUUGGUUCAUUGCUGAUAAUAUUGUUCCCCCCUCUUCACAUAUGUGCAGUUUGUACUUGGUGAAUUGACCGUCUCUAGCCACACUAGAUAUUUUUUCGAGCCUUCGGGUUAAGUGGCUGUACAUCUGUGAACUUCUGCACGUCUCUAUAACUGCUAGCUUCAGUGUUGAAUUUGGGUGCAUGUGGAAAUGUUACCUUUUCUUUAUAAUUUUUAUUAUACAUAGUACAUUUAGCUUUUCUCUUUGAGCUUAUUCUUUCAUUCUGUUCAGAUCUCUUUAUUAUCUUUUUUUUCAUGUUGGCUAUCCUUCACAGCAAAUAGCUGUUUAACCUUUGUUAUGCAUUGAAUUCACUAUGUGUCUAUUUCAACCCACUGAAUAAAUGACUGUGUCUAGUGAA